GAUGAAGAACGCAGCGAAAUGCGAUACGUAAUGUGAAUUGCAGAAUUCAGUGAAUCAUCGAGUCUUUGAACGCACAUUGCGCCCUCUGGUAUUCCGGAGGGCAUGCCUGUCCGAGCGUCAUUGCUGCCCUCAAGCACGGCUUGUGUGUUGGGCCCCGCCCCCCGAUCCCGGGGGGCGGGCCCGAAAGGCAGCGGCGGCACCGCGUCCGGUCCUCGAGCGUAUGGGGCUUUGUCACCCGCUCUGUAGGCCCGGCCGGCGCUUGCCGAUCAACCAAACUUUUUUCCAGGUUGACCUCGGAUCAGGUAGGGAUACCCGCUGAACUUAAGCAUAUCAAUAAGCGGAGA
rnacentral:misc_RNA from 1 species